rnacentral:rRNA from 1 species
UACGUAGGGGGCAAGCGUUGUCCGGAAUCAUUGGGCGUAAAGCGCGUGUAGGCGGCCCGGUAAGUCCGCUGUGAAAGUCCAGGGCUCAACCCUGGAAUGCCGGUGGAUACUGUCGGGCUCGAGUCCGGAAGAGGCGAGUGGAAUUCCUGGUGUAGCGGUGAAAUGCGUAGAUAUCUGGAGGAACACCGGUGGCGAAGGCGGCAUCCUGGACCGAUACUGACGCUGAGGAGCGAAAGCCAGGGGAGCAAACGGG